GGGGCGUGCGACUACAUAACCCAGGAUGCAAAGGACCUCAACUUUGCCCCGCGUCUGACGCCUUCUGAUGACUGGUGCUCCUUGCUAAAGAGAUCCGAGGGGUGGACAAUGCUUCCGCUGGGAACCCGCACAGCCUCUCGGACCGUGACAUUUCGAAAGACGAAGGAAAGUAGACGAGCAUCACCCUGUCUCUAAGUUAGAGUAGUUUGUGCGCAGGGUGGCAAUGCAUUAACGAGCUCCCUUCCGUAUUUUUUUGUUUCCCGGAGGCAAUGACCAGCCAGUCCCCAUAGGUCGAACACCUCGAAGGCUUAUGUCUUCGAGUCCCAAAUCGAAGUUCCCAACGUCUAACCAUUGGCUUACACCCGGGUGCGCAGGCGCCCAGACUCGGACCCAGUCCCAGGGCUGAUGAGCGGCAAUUGGCCUGAGCCCCGCAAACUAGGAGUCUGGAUUGGUGGUUGCUAGCAGGAGCCUGGUUUCUUCCUCGACUUCUGCGAGUGAUUAGUGUGUGAUUGGUUUAAAUCCGCGGGUACCCAUCGGCGAUUGGACCGCCGUUGCGGUCAGCGCGCGGCCAUUGGCUGGGCGCUAGGGCCAUCCCUCCGCCAAAGCGGGCAGCGAAUGGUGAAAUGGGAACUGGGAGGGGAAAGGCCGCGACGUGAGCGCGCGACCUCGGGCGCCAUUUUGUCGAGAAAACAAGCGGAGUUAACCGAAGAGGGGGGUCGAGGAGAGCCGGAGUCGAGGACCCAGGAGUUUCCUGUGUCCAGCGCUGCGGGAGCCGACUGAGGUGCCAUGUUUCAGAACAGAGUAAGACACUUGGUAAAGAAGAACUGAAGACAUUUACAGAUAACAGAGAUAGCCUAAUUACAAAGAAAGCAUUAACCUGCCUCUGAGGUGACUAAAGGGGAAUAAUGGUGAUUUUGCGCCGGGCUCGGCCGCCUGCUUCCGCCCCAACCAGCAAUGAAUCUUGACUCGCUCUCGCUGGCCUUGUCUCAAAUCAGCUACCUGGUGGACAAUUUAACCAAGAAAAACUACCGAGCCAGCCAGCAGGAAAUACAGCAUAUUGUGAAUCGGCACGGUCCUGAGGCAGACAGGCAUUUAUUACGCUGCCUAUUUUCACAUGUGGAUUUCAGUGGCGAUGGUAAAAGCAGUGGCAAAGAUUUCCAUCAGACACAGUUUCUGAUUCAGGAGUGUGCCUCGCUGAUUACAAAGCCAAAUUUUAUCUCAACAUUGUCAUAUGCCAUUGAUAAUCCAUUGCACUACCAGAAGAGUUUAAAGCCUGCACCCCACUUAUUUGCCCAGCUGAGUAAAGUUCUCAAGCUAAGUAAAGUACAGGAGGUCAUUUUUGGUCUUGCCCUUUUGAAUUCUUCUAGCCCAGAUCUCAGGGGUUUUGCUGCCCAGUUUAUUAAACAGAAGCUUCCGGAUCUUCUGCGUUCUUACAUUGACGCAGACGUCAGUGGAAAUCAAGAAGGUGGCUUCCAAGAUAUAGCAAUAGAGGUCCUACACCUCCUACUCUCCCAUCUCCUCUUUGGGCAGAAGGGAGCCUUUGGAGUUGGACAGGAACAGAUAGACGCCUUUCUUAAGACACUACGCAGAGAUUUUCCCCAAGAGCGCUGUCCUGUGGUGCUUGCACCACUUUUAUACCCUGAAAAACGGGACAUUCUAAUGGACAGGAUUUUGCCUGAUUCUGGAGGGGUAGCUAAAACCAUGAUGGAGAGCUCGCUAGCUGACUUCAUGCAGGAAGUGGGCUAUGGCUUUUGUGCAAGUAUUGAAGAAUGUCGCAAUAUAAUCAUGCAGUUUGGUGUUCGGGAGGUCACAGCUGCCCAGGUUGCCAGGGUUUUGGGAAUGAUGGCUCGGACUCAUUCAGGAUUAACAGACGGUAUUCCAUUACAGAGCAUCUCUGCUCCUGGCAGUGGGAUCUGGAGCGACGGAAAAGAUAAAAGCGAGGGGGCACAGGCACACACGUGGAAUGUCGAGGUUUUGAUUGAUGUUCUUAAAGAGCUGAACCCGAGUUUGAAUUUCAAGGAAGUAACUUAUGAACUGGACCAUCCUGGAUUUCAGAUUCGUGACAGCAAAGGACUUCACAAUGUGGUUUAUGGCAUUCAAAGGGGUCUGGGCAUGGAAGUGUUUCCAGUAGAUUUUAUAUAUAGGCCUUGGAAACAUGCAGAAGGCCAGCUCUCCUUCAUCCAGCAUUCCCUGAUAAACCCAGAGGUCUUCUGUUUUGCUGACUACCCCUGUCACACUGUUGCCACUGAUAUUUUGAAAGCACCACCAGAGGAUGACAAUCGAGAAAUUGCCACAUGGAAAAGCUUGGAUUUGAUUGAAUCUCUGCUGAGGCUUGCAGAGGUUGGGCAGUAUGAGCAAGUGAAACAACUCUUCAGCUUCCCUAUCAAACACUGUCCAGACAUGUUGGUAUUGGCCUUACUUCAAAUCAACACUUCCUGGCACACCCUACGCCAUGAACUCAUCUCUACUUUGAUGCCAAUUUUCCUUGGAAACCAUCCUAACUCUGCCAUUAUUUUGCACUAUGCAUGGCAUGGGCAGGGGCAGUCUCCAUCAAUUCGCCAACUUAUAAUGCAUGCAAUGGCAGAAUGGUACAUGAGAGGGGAGCAGUAUGAUCAGGCCAAAUUGUCUCGAAUACUUGACGUGGCCCAGGACUUGAAGGCCCUGUCGAUGCUGCUGAACGGCACUCCAUUUGCUUUUGUCAUUGACCUUGCUGCACUCGCUUCACGGCGGGAAUACCUCAAACUUGACAAGUGGCUAACAGAUAAGAUAAGAGAGCAUGGGGAGCCUUUUAUACAAGCAUGUAUGACUUUUUUAAAGAGAAGGUGCCCUUCUAUUUUGGGUGGACUUGCCCCAGAGAAAGAUCAGCCCAAAAGUGCUCAACUUCCCGCUGAAACUCUGGCAACAAUGUUGGCUUGUCUGCAGGCUUGUGCAGGGAGUGUUUCUCAAGAGUUAUCAGAGACCAUCCUCACCAUGGUAGCCAAUUGCAGUAAUGUAAUGAAUAAGGCCAGACAGCCACCACCUGGAGUUAUGCCAAAAGGUCGCCCUCCUAGUGCUAGCAGCUUAGAUGCCAUUUCUCCUGUUCAGAUUGACCCUCUUGCUGGAAUGGCAUCUCUUAGUAUAGGUGGUUCGGCUGCCCCUCACACCCAGAGCAUGCAGGGUUUUCCUCCAAAUCUGGGUUCUGCGUUCAGUACCCCUCAGUCACCAGCAAAAGCAUUUCCACCACUUUCAACCCCAAAUCAAACAACGGCCUUCAGUGGGAUUGGAGGACUCUCCUCACAGCUUCCAGUAGGUGGUCUUGGCACAGGAAGCCUGACUGGCAUAGGAACUGGGGCCCUUGGACUUCCUGCAGUGAACAAUGAUCCUUUUGUACAGAGGAAACUGGGCACCUCUGGACUCAACCAGCCUACAUUCCAGCAGAGUAAGAUGAAACCUUCCGACUUGUCUCAGGUGUGGCCAGAGGCAAAUCAGCACUUUAGUAAAGAAAUUGAUGAUGAAGCAAACAGUUAUUUCCAGCGAAUAUAUAAUCACCCACCACAUCCAACCAUGUCUGUUGAUGAGGUAUUAGAAAUGCUACAGAGAUUUAAAGACUCUACAAUAAAAAGGGAACGAGAAGUAUUUAACUGUAUGCUGAGGAACUUGUUUGAAGAAUACCGGUUUUUCCCUCAGUACCCUGAUAAAGAAUUACAUAUAACAGCUUGCUUGUUUGGUGGCAUAAUUGAAAAAGGACUGGUCACUUACAUGGCAUUGGGUCUGGCCCUGCGAUAUGUUCUUGAAGCCUUACGGAAGCCUUUUGGAUCCAAAAUGUAUUAUUUUGGUAUUGCUGCACUAGAUAGAUUUAAAAAUAGAUUGAAGGACUAUCCUCAGUAUUGUCAGCACCUGGCUUCUAUCAGCCACUUUAUGCAGUUCCCACAUCAUUUGCAGGAGUACAUUGAGUACGGACAGCAGUCUCGAGAUCCUCCUGUGAAAAUGCAGGGCUCUAUUACUACCCCUGGAAGUAUUGCACUGGCUCAGGCCCAGGCUCAGGCCCAGGUUCCAGCAAAAGCUCCUCUUGCCGGUCAGGUUAACACAAUGGUAACCACCUCAACAACCACCACUGUUGCUAAAACGGUUACAGUCACCAAGCCAACGGGAGUCAGCUUUAAGAAAGAUGUGCCACCUUCUAUAAAUACAACAAAUAUCGAUACAUUGCUUGUGGCCACAGAUCAAACUGAGAGGAUUGUGGAGCCCCCAGAAAAUAUUCAAGAGAAAAUUGCUUUUAUUUUCAACAAUCUCUCCCAGUCAAAUAUGACACAGAAGGUUGAAGAGCUUAAAGAAACUGUGAAGGAAGAAUUUAUGCCUUGGGUUUCCCAGUAUCUGGUUAUGAAAAGAGUCAGUAUUGAGCCAAACUUUCAUAGCCUGUAUUCAAACUUUCUUGAUACAUUGAAGAAUCCUGAAUUUAACAAGAUGGUUCUGAAUGAAACCUACAGAAACAUUAAAGUGCUGCUGACUUCUGAUAAAGCUGCGGCCAAUUUCUCAGAUCGUUCUUUGCUGAAGAACUUGGGACAUUGGUUAGGAAUGAUCACAUUAGCUAAAAAUAAACCCAUCUUACACACAGACUUGGAUGUGAAAUCUUUGCUGUUAGAGGCUUACGUUAAAGGACAGCAAGAGUUGCUCUAUGUGGUGCCCUUUGUUGCCAAAGUUCUAGAGUCCAGCAUUCGCAGCCUGGUUUUUAGACCACCAAACCCCUGGACAAUGGCAAUUAUGAAUGUAUUGGCUGAGCUGCAUCAGGAGCAUGACUUAAAGUUAAACCUGAAGUUUGAGAUUGAGGUGCUCUGUAAGAACCUUGCAUUAGACAUCAAUGAGCUCAAACCUGGAAACCUGCUGAAAGAUAAAGAUCGUCUGAAGAACUUAGAUGAGCAACUCUCUGCUCCAAAGAAAGAUGUCAAGCAGCCCGAAGAGCUUCCUGCCAUCACAACAACAACAACUUCUACAACACCAGCUACCAGUACUACGUGUACAGCCACAGUUCCACCACAGCCACAGUACAGCUACCACGACAUCAAUGUCUACUCUCUAGCAGGCCUGGCACCUCAUAUUACUCUAAACCCUACAAUCCCUUUAUUUCAAGCUCAUCCUCAGCUGAAGCAGUGUGUGCGGCAAGCAAUUGAAAGAGCUGUCCAGGAGCUUGUCCAUCCUGUGGUGGAUCGCUCAAUUAAGAUUGCUAUGACUACGUGCGAACAGAUAGUCAGAAAGGACUUUGCCCUGGAUUCUGAGGAGUCUCGAAUGAGAAUAGCAGCUCAUCACAUGAUGCGGAACUUGACAGCUGGAAUGGCUAUGAUUACUUGCAGGGAACCUUUACUGAUGAGCAUAUCCACCAACCUCAAAAACAGCUUUGCCUCAGCCCUGCGUACUGCAUCCCCACAGCAAAGGGAAAUGAUGGACCAGGCUGCUGCUCAGUUAGCUCAGGACAAUUGUGAAUUAGCUUGUUGUUUUAUUCAGAAAACUGCAGUGGAGAAAGCAGGCCCUGAGAUGGACAAGAGAUUGGCAACUGAAUUUGAGCUGAGGAAGCAUGCCCGGCAAGAAGGACGUAGGUACUGUGAUCCUGUGGUCUUAACCUACCAAGCCGAGCGGAUGCCGGAGCAGAUCAGGCUGAAAGUUGGUGGUGUGGACCCAAAGCAGCUAGCCGUCUAUGAAGAGUUUGCACGAAAUGUGCCUGGCUUCUUACCUACAAAUGACUUAAGUCAGCCUACAGGGUUUUUAGCUCAGCCCAUGAAGCAAGCUUGGGCAACUGAUGAUGUAGCGCAGAUUUAUGAUAAGUGUAUUACAGAACUGGAGCAGCACCUACACGCCAUUCCACCCACUCUGGCCAUGAAUCCUCAAGCCCAGGCUCUCCGAAGUCUUUUAGAGGUUGUAGUGUUGUCUCGGAAUUCUCGGGAUGCGAUAGCUGCUCUUGGAUUACUACAGAAGGCUGUAGAAGGCUUAUUAGAUGCCACAAGUGGUGCUGACGCCGACUUACUGCUGCGAUACAGGGAGUGCCACCUGUUGGUACUGAAAGCUCUGCAGGAUGGCAGGGCAUAUGGAUCUCCAUGGUGCAACAAACAAAUCACAAGGUGCCUAAUUGAAUGUCGAGAUGAAUAUAAAUAUAAUGUGGAGGCUGUGGAAUUGUUAAUUCGAAAUCAUUUGGUUAACAUGCAGCAGUAUGAUCUUCAUCUUGCUCAGUCGAUGGAGAAUGGCUUGAACUAUAUGGCCGUGGCGUUUGCUAUGCAACUGGUAAAAAUUCUGCUGGUGGAUGAAAGGAGUGUUGCCCAUAUUACUGAGGCAGAUCUGUUCCAUACCAUUGAAACCCUCAUGAGAAUUAAUGCUCAUUCCAGAGGCAAUGCUCCAGAAGGGUUGCCCCAGCUGAUGGAAGUGGUGAGAUCCAACUAUGAAGCAAUGAUUGAUCGUGCUCAUGGAGGCCCUAACUUUAUGAUGCAUUCUGGGAUCUCUCAAGCCUCAGAAUAUGAUGACCCUCCAGGCCUGAGGGAGAAGGCAGAGUAUCUUCUGAGGGAAUGGGUGAAUCUCUACCAUUCAGCAGCAGCUGGCCGCGACAGUACCAAAGCAUUCUCUGCGUUUGUUGGACAGGUAGAGCUUUUGGAAAGAAAGAUGCACCAACAAGGAAUACUUAAAACUGAUGACCUCAUAACAAGGUUUUUUCGUCUUUGCACUGAAAUGUGUGUUGAAAUCAGUUACCGUGCUCAGGCGGAGCAGCAGCACAAUCCUGCGGCUAACCCUACCAUGAUCCGGGCCAAGUGCUACCACAACCUGGAUGCCUUUGUCCGCCUCAUUGCACUGUUAGUGAAGCACUCUGGGGAGGCCACCAACACUGUCACAAAGAUCAACCUGCUCAAUAAGGUUCUCGGUAUAGUAGUGGGAGUUCUCCUACAGGAUCAUGAUGUUCGGCAGAGUGAAUUUCAGCAACUUCCGUACCAUAGGAUUUUUAUCAUGCUGCUGUUGGAGCUCAAUGCACCCGAGCAUGUGUUGGAAACCAUUAAUUUCCAGACUCUUACUGCUUUCUGCAAUACAUUCCACAUCUUGAGACCUACUAAAGCUCCUGGCUUUGUAUAUGCUUGGCUCGAAUUGAUUUCCCAUCGGAUCUUUAUUGCAAGAAUGCUGGCACAUACGCCACAGCAGAAGGUGUGGCUGCAGUUUAUCUCCUACAGAUGAAGCCUGGGUGGCCUAUGUAUGCUCAGCUGUUGAUUGAUUUAUUCAAAUAUUUAGCACCUUUCCUUAGAAAUGUGGAACUCACUAAACCUAUGCAAAUCCUCUACAAGGGUACUCUGAGAGUGCUGCUGGUUCUUUUGCAUGAUUUCCCAGAGUUCCUUUGUGAUUACCAUUAUGGGUUCUGUGAUGUGAUCCCUCCUAAUUGUAUCCAGUUAAGAAAUUUGAUCCUGAGUGCCUUCCCAAGAAACAUGAGGCUCCCAGACCCAUUCACUCCUAAUCUGAAGGUGGACAUGUUAAGCGAAAUUAACAUCGCACCUCGGAUCCUCACCAAUUUCACUGGAGUGAUGCCGCCUCAGUUCAAAAAGGAUUUGGAUUCUUAUCUUAAAACUCGGUCGCCGGUCACUUUCCUGUCUGAUCUGCGUAGUAACCUACAGGUAUCUAAUGAGCCCGGGAAUCGCUACAACCUCCAGCUUAUCAAUGCAUUGGUGCUCUACGUAGGGACUCAGGCUAUCGCACACAUCCACAACAAGGGCAGCACGCCCUCAAUGAGCACCAUCACCCACUCAGCACACAUGGACAUCUUCCAGAACCUGGCUGUGGACCUAGACACUGAGGGCCGAUAUCUCUUCUUAAAUGCAAUUGCGAACCAGCUACGGUACCCAAACAGCCACACUCACUACUUCAGCUGCACAAUGUUGUACCUUUUUGCUGAGGCGAACACUGAGGCAAUCCAGGAACAGAUCACAAGGGUUCUCUUGGAACGGUUGAUUGUAAAUAGGCCACAUCCUUGGGGUCUUCUUAUCACCUUCAUUGAGCUGAUUAAAAACCCAGCAUUUAAGUUCUGGAACCAUGAAUUUGUACACUGUGCCCCAGAGAUUGAAAAGUUAUUUCAGUCUGUUGCACAGUGCUGCAUGGGACAGAAGCAGGCUCAGCAAGUGAUGGAGGGGACCGGUGCCAGUUAGAUGAACUGUGUAUAUCCCUUGCAGAUGCAUCAGCCUUGGUCCGCUGAACCAAGUUCAUAAACUGAAGAUUCCUCCUGACUUUCCUAGCCCUUUGGUUCUCAGGGGUCUGCCCCACCAACUGCUGGGGUUGAUCUCCUGUCUAUGUGGGCAAGUUCCAAAGUUUAAAUGCAUUUUUUUUUUGACUCUUGGCCAAAAUUUAGAAGAUGCUGUGAAUAUCAUUUUGAACUUGUGUAAAUAUAUGAAAGAGAAAACUUUUGUCUGAAACUUCUUGGGUUUGUGUAAAGUGUGUACGUAUGUAAACUACCUUGUAACAGGCAGUUGAUGGCAUGCUCUUGUCUCAAGCAUAGCAGCAUGUCUUCCGACAUCCAUGACAUUCCAAAGAUUAGCAAAUACUGAAUUCAUGCAAUUUUUUUUUAAAACGUAGCUAAGGAAGCUUACAAAGCCACAUAAGUUAUAAGUGUAGACUAGAUAGACCAGGGGGUUCUGCUUGCCUCUGGAAAGGUAGUUGACCUGCUUUGGUGGUCCUAAGGGAGAACAUACCCAAAGAGGAACAUCUCUGGCCUGCGAUUCUGCUUCACCUUGUUUAGGCUGUACAGCCUAGUUAAACAACAAAAGUCAAAAAGACUACUACAGCUGCUGCUUUUUAUAAGGAUCAGGAUCGUAAAUGUUCCGUGAACAGCUAGGCCCGUGUUAUAUUUUGUAGCCUUUGUAGUUUCUGGGCCUUAAUCAGCUUUCAUGUAUGUGUGAAGACGGUAAACAUUAAAGUCAUGACAUGCA